UACGUAGGGGGCAAGCGUUGUCCGGAAUCAUUGGGCGUAAAGCGCGUGUAGGCGGCCAGGUAAGUCCGUUCUGAAAGCCCGGGGCUCAACCCCGGGAGGCGGAUGGAUACUGCUUGGCUCGAGUCCGGAAGAGGUGAGUGGAAUUCCCGGUGUAGCGGUGAAAUGCGCAGAUAUCGGGAGGAACACCAAUGGCGAAGGCAGCUCACUGGGACGGUACUGACGCUGAGACGCGAAAGCGUGGGGAGCAAACAGG
rnacentral:rRNA from 1 species